rfam:Ornithorhynchus anatinus chromosome 5, whole genome shotgun sequence.
AGCGGCGCGGCUCAGUGGAAAGAGCCUGGGCUUCGGACUCAGAGGUCCUGAGUUCGACUCCCGGCUCUGCCA